rnacentral:rRNA from 1 species
CCUACGGGAGGCAGCAGUGGGGAAUUUUGCGCAAUGGGGGCAACCCUGACGCAGCAACGCCGCGUGAGUGAUGAAGGCCUUCGGGUCGUAAAGCUCUGUCAGAGGGGAAGAAAUGCAGGUGGUGAACAACCAUUCUGUUUGACGGUACCCUCAAAGGAAGCACCGGCUAACUCCGUGCCAGCAGCCGCGGUAAUACGGAGGGUGCGAGCGUUGUUCGGAAUUAUUGGGCGUAAAGCGCGUGUAGGCGGUUUGGUAAGAGAGAUGUGAAAGCCCCGGGCUCAACCGGGGAAGGGCAUUGGAUACUGGCAGGCUUGAGGGCGGGAGAGGAGAGUGGAAUUCCCAGUGUAGGAGUGAAAUCCGUAGAUAUUGGGAGGAACACCGGUGGCGAAGGCGGCUCCCGGGACGGAUACUGACGCUGAGGCGCGAAAGCGUGGGGAGCAAACAGGAUUAGAUACCCGGGUAGU